GCUGGUUUGAGAGGAUGAUCAGCCACACUGGAACUGAGACACGGUCCAGACUCCUACGGGAGGCAGCAGUCGGGAAUAUUGCACAUUGGGCGCAAGCCUGAUGCAUCCAUGCCGCGUGUUUGAAGAAGGCCUUAGGGUUGUAAAGCACUUUCAGUAAGGAGGAAAGGUUGGUAGUUAAUACCUGCUAGCUGUGACGUUACUUAC
rnacentral:rRNA from 1 species